rnacentral:tRNA from 1 species
GCCCGCGUAGCUCAGUUGGAUGAGCAUUGGGCUAGUAUCCAAAGGUCGUAGGUUCGAAUCCCACCGUGGCCG